AUCAGGGGAAGAAGUGUGUGGUCACUUCCUAGGCAGACAGAAGCUGUUGGGAGCAAGGAGGAAGUCUAGUGGGAGAGUAGCCCUGGGAUCCUGCUUGAAGGAGUCUGUUUGGUGAAACAGACACAAAUUCAUGAAACAUUCUAGUGUUGCCAAAUCGGAAUUAUUUGCCAGAAGAAAGUCUCGGAUGAAAAAUUUCACCCAGGGACCUGCUAGAAGGGUUAGUGAAGAGACAUACAUUAGGAUGCCUUCAAUAUGCUGACAACACCCAAGUUUCUCAUUUCAUCUUUGCCAAACCAAAUGGUACAAUAGGCAAACACUGAUUGGUCUAUGAUUGGGCAUAGACAAAAGCUAGUUUGUUGUGGUUCAAUACAGAUAAAAUGGAAGGAACAUUGCAGGGAAGCACCUGGAAGAGAGGGAGAAGAUUAUAUUGGAAACUUUCAUUGAAGGUGUAUGCCCACCAGUUGUAACAAGUUCAGAAUCUGGGUGUCUAGUUAGAUGCUCACUUGCUGUUAAGGUGAUCAGAUGGCAAUGGUGGACAUGAUUUUAUUUCAUUCUGUCUCUUUUUUUUUUUGCACGAGAUUGCAACCUUUUCUUUAAGAAACAAACUUCACUCCAUCCCAUAUCGCUUUGGCCCAGAUCCACAAAGAGAUUUAGGUGCCAAAGUCCUAGAAUCAGGCACCGCUGUGAUCCAAAAAACUAUGCUCUGCUGCCGGCUAUUCCAAUAGGUGCUUUGUGGAUCUGGGCCUUUGGAUUUUAAACCACUGCAAUAUGAUCUGCAUGGGGCUGUGGGCCCUAGCAUCAUCCAUACACUAAAGCUGUUGUAGAGUCUAGCAACCUGUUUAUUAGUGGAGCAUCCUACCUACAUAGAUAGGACUUAUUUUACACUGGGUUUAAUUUUUUUAAGUAAGACACCAUAAGACACCGUAUUUUUUAAACUUUUUUUUGUGCUUAAAACCCUUGUGAUCAAAAUAAUAAGUAAAAUAAUAUUUGUAGUACCUGUGUGAGUAAAAUAAAUUGCAGUUCCCACAGAAGUGAAUUUUGUUUUGUUUUUCAAU